rnacentral:tRNA from 1 species
AGAGAUUUAGGAUUCAAUCAGACCAAAAGCCUUCAAAGCUUUAAGCAGGAGUGAAAAACUCCUAACCUCUG